AACUAAGUGCCUGAUAAAAGGGUUAUCUUGAUAGGGUAGAUUAUAUGGCUUCAACCAUCUUAGUUA
rnacentral:tRNA from 1 species